GAUGAACGCUGGCGGCGUGCCUAAUACAUGCAAGUCGAGCGAACAGACGAGGAGCUUGCUCCUCUGACGUUAGCGGCGGACGGGUGAGUAACACGUGGAGAACCUACCUAUAAGACUGGGAUAACUUCGGGAAACCGGAGCUAAUACCGGAUAACAUGUUGAACCGCAUGGUUCAACAGUGAAAGACGGUCUUGCUGUCACUUAUAGAUGGAUCCGCGCCGCAUUAGCUAGUUGGUAAGGUAACGGCUUACCAAGGCAACGAUGCGUAGCCGACCUGAGAGGGUGAUCGGCCACACUGGAACUGAGACACGGUCCAGACUCCUACGGGAGGCAGCAGUAGGGAAUCUUCCGCAAUGGACGAAAGCCUGACGGAGCAACGCCGCGUGAGUGAAGAGGGUCUUCGGAUCGUAAAACUCUGUUAUUAGGGAAGAACAAAUGUGUAAGUAACUAUGCACGUCUUGACGGUACCUAAUCAGAAAGCCACGGCUAACUACGUG
rnacentral:rRNA from 1 species